AGCAGCCGCGGUAAUUCCAGCUCCAAUAGCGUAUAUUAAAGUUGUUGCAGUUAAAAAGCUCGUAGUUGAAUUUCGGAAUCUGUCCAUCGGUCGGGCUUCACUGUCCGUACUGGUGUGGUGGGUUCUUACUUUCUGAAUAACCAGCAUGCCAUUCACUUGGUGCGUUGGGGAAGCAGGACUAUUACCUUGAAAAAAUUAGAGUGCUCAAAGCAGGCUAGUGCCUGAAUACAUUAG
rnacentral:rRNA from 1 species